rnacentral:pre_miRNA from 1 species
CCCUUAACUAUUAAAAGUUUCGUUUUGGUCCUUUAACUUACUUUUUGGUUUUGUUUUGGUCCCUUAACUCAUCCUCUGUCAACCACUUUGGUCCUUUAUGUUAGGAUGAAUGUAUUAGAGUUAAGGGAUCAAAAUGAAACCAAAAAAUAAGUUAAGGGACCAAAAAGAAACCAAAAAGUAAGUUAAAGGACCAAAACGAAACUUUUAAUAGUUAAGGGA